CAUGCAAGUCGAGCGAACAGAAAGGAGCUUGCUCCUUUGACGUUAGCGGCGGACGGGUGAGUAACACGUGGGCAACCUACCCUAUAGUUUGGGAUAACUCCGGGAAACCGGGGCUAAUACCGAAUAAUCUCUUUUGCUUCAUGGUGAAAGACUGAAAGACGGUUUCGGCUGUCGCUAUUGGAUGGGCCCGCGGCGCAAUAGCUAGUUGGUGAGGUAACGGCUCACCAAGGCGACCAUUCGUAGCCCACCUGAGAGGGUGAUCGGCCACACUGGGACUGAAACACGGCCCAGACUCCUACGGGAGGCAGCAGUAGGGAAUCUUCCACAAUGGGCGAAAGCCUGAUGGAGCAACGCCCCGUGAGUGAAGAAGGUUUUCGGAUCGUAAAACUCUUUUGUAAGGGAAGAACAAGUACAGUAGUAACUGGCUGUACCUUGACGGUACCUUAUUAAAAAGCCACGGCUAACUACGUGCCAGCAGCCGCGGUAAUACGUAAGUUGCAAGCGUUGUCCGGAAUUAUUGGGCGUAAAGCGCGCGCAGGCCGUCCUUUAAGUCUGAUGUGAAAGCCCACGGCUCAACCGUGGAAGGUCAUUGGAAACUGGGGGACUUGAGUGCAGAAGAAGAAAGUGGAAUUCCCAGUGUAGCGGUGAAAUGCGUAGAGAUUUGGAAGAACACAGUGGCGAAAGCGACUUUCUGGUCUGUACUGACGCUGAAGCGCGAAGCGUGGGGAGCAACAGGAUUAGAUACCCUGGUAGUCCACGCCGUAAAGAUGAGUGCUAAUGUUAAGGGGUUUCCCCCCUUAAUGCUGCACCUACGCAUUAGCACUCCCCCGGGGAGUACGGUCGCAGACUGAACUCAAGGAAUUGACGGGGGCCGCACAACGGUGAACAUGUGGUUAAUUCGAAGCACGCGAAAAACUUAC
rnacentral:rRNA from 1 species